rnacentral:rRNA from 1 species
GACGAACGCUGGCGGCGUGCUUAACACAUGCAAGUCGAACGGGCCUUGUCCCCUUUUUUUUGGGGGUGGGGUUAGUGGCGAACGGGUGAGUAACACGUGAGUAACCUGCCCCUCACUUCUGGAUAACCGCUUGAAAGGGUGGCUAAUACGGGGUGUUCUGGCCUGCUCGCAUGGGUGGGUUUGGAAAGAUUCGACCGGUUUUGGUUGUUUUGGUGGGGGAUGGGCUCGCGGCCUAUCAGCUUGUUGGUGGGGUGAUGGCCUGCCAAGGCUUUGACGGGUAGCCGGCCUGAGAGGGUGGGCGGUCACACUGGGACUGAGACACGGCCCAGACUCCUACGGGAGGCAGCAGUGGGGAAUAUUGCACAAGGGGCGCAAGCCUGAUGCAGCGACGCCGCGUGAGGGAUGGAGGCCUUCGGGUUGUGAACCUCUUUCGCCAGUGAAGAAGGUCCUGCUCUUUGUGGUGGGGUUGACGGUAGCGGGGUUAAUGAAGCGCCGGCUAACUACGUG